CCGUCUGCUGGAGAGAGUUCAUGCGAGGCCGCUCGGGUGCACCGACAGCGACAAGCUGGAGAUGUCUCUGCAGCUGACGAGCGUGCGCGAGCAGUGCGCCCGUCUCCUGGAGGCGGUGGAGGCAGGGGAGAUCGCCGGCCACGCCGCCGCGGCCCGCCUCUUCGGCAGCUACCACUCCAAGCUGCGCGUGCUUCUCGCCGUCCACGGCGGCGGCCACCUCGACGCCGCCGCCGCUCGCCGUCCCGCCGCCCGGUGGACAGAUCGAUCGCCGCCUCCUCGCCAAGUUCGGCAUCUACGCCUUCGAGCUGCCAACCAACUGGGUUGACAAGUCCCUCAUUGCGUCCAUGAUGCGCACCCUGGAGUACGCGAUGGAUGAAGCAAAGGAUUUCAUGAGCGUCACAGAUGAGCAGGAUGAGGCAGAGGAAGGGGACGAUGGUGAUGAUGGAAAGGCGUAGCUGUCAGCAAGUUCUUAACCAACUGGAAGGCAAUUAGGGCUCAGUCAAGAGUAGUACUAGUUCUUUUAAGUGUUUUUGGCGCGCAUUACACCUAAUCUAGCUUAAGAUGCUUCUGCUGCUGCUACUACUACUACUAUGUUAUCUAUCUAGUACUAGUACUACCUGCUACUACUACCAUGUAACGCCUAUGGGCUAUCUUGUGAACUUUGCAGCAGCUAUCUUGUCUUAACUAUGGCUUGAUCUUUUUCACCUGUCUUGCUUAUUAAA